AUGGCGCUUCGUAGAACUAAAUCGCUGCGCUCGUUGAGCAUUAUGCUUUUUGGUGGGAAAAAACUGUGCCAGAUCAAAACUGUUGUUGCACUGGUGCGGCCGUGAAGGCAACGUUGUGUGGCAUCCAUGCCCACAACGCCCCACCGGCAACUUCAGACAAUC
ensembl:snoRNA snoRNA:Psi28S-2648